AGGAAAAGAAACUAACAAGGAUUCCCCUAGUAACGGCGAGUGAACCGGGAAGAGCUCAAAUUUGUAAUCUGGCCCUUGGGUCCGAGUUGUAAUCUAUAGAGGCGUUUUCCGUGCCGGACCGUGUCCAAGUCCCUUGGAACAGGGUAUCAAAGAGGGUGACAAUCCCGUACUUGACACGACGACCGGUGCUCUGUGAUACGUCUUCGACGAGUCGAGUUGUUUGGGAAUGCAGCUCAAAAUGGGUGGUAAAUUCCAUCUAAAGCUAAAUAUUGGCGAGAGACCGAUAGCGAACAAGUACCGUGAGGGAAAGAUGAAAAGCACUUUGGAAAGAGAGUUAAACAGUACGUGAAAUUGUUAAAAGGGAAACGAUUGAAGUCAGUCGUGUCGGUUGGAUUCAGCUCGGUCUCCGGGUGUAUUUCCUUCCGACGGGUCAACAUCAGUUUGGAUCGGUGGAUAAAGAUGGAGGGAAGGUGGCAUCCUCGGAUGUGUUAUAGCCCUCUGUUGCAUACGCUGGUCCGGACUGAGGCAUGCAGCUCGCCUUUAUGGCCGGGGUUCGCCCACGUUCGAGCUUAGGAUGUUGACGUAAUGGCUUUAAACGACCCGUCUUGAACAC
rnacentral:rRNA from 1 species